CAUGCAUAGGCGUCGCGAUGGCUGCUGCUGCGAUCGUCUCCGAAUAAAGUCACUCUGUCCAUUUGAUUGUGGUUCGAUGGCUGCUUGGAUUCGUAGUUCAGAUUCGCCAUGUUCGGCGAGAAAACCACAACUCGACGCAGCGGAAUUCCCCGUCGAACGAGCCGCGGGGACUCGUUGGACGUAGCGAACUGAAUGGGGGUAUCGUCCGGCACCUGGCAAUUCUCGGCGAGGGAGUGCCGAGUAUCCGGGAUAGUGAUAGUGGCACAGUUGGACAAUCAGAGCAUCCGGUUUCCUCCACCCUCUUCACCCCAGAUUUCAUCCGUCCAUGGUAUUUGUUCUCUGGAUCCGGACACCCACCUGCGUCGAUCGAUGUGCUGAGGUCGCAUUGCCAAGGGUGGUGCUGCGGUGUUUGGAUCCAGCCGCACGCGAUCCACUGCUACCUCGCUGCCUGGCUCCUGCGUCAAUCACAUCACGGUCCCAGAGCCCGCAUUUCUUCUCCUCGGAUCGGCGCCGCAGCAGUGCAUUUGCCCGCCGCAGCUCAGCUCUACAAAUGUGCAGAGAUCUAUCACUCAUACACGUCCAGAAAUAAAACGCUGUUCCGGCGAAUAGAUUCCGACACUGCCAUUGUUGGAGGAACGAGAGUCUCUUUGGAACUGCUGCGAUGAGUUUGUGCUGCAUCUGUUAAAGCUUUAGGAAGCUGUGUUUUGGUAUCGCAUUUGUCACAUUGUCUGGGAUCAGGGAUACAAACUUGUUAUGAUGUGGUCUAUGGACUUGUCAUAAAACUUGUUGACGGUGGGUUUUUCAACAGUAGUUGUUGCCUUUCUAAUACGCAGUUGGGUAGAGAUUGAAGAAUACGUGUAAUAAUAUUUUGUUGCUGUUUCGCUGAAGUUGGUGGCACUGCAGGUACUGACGUUAGUGGUACGAGACUCAGGCCUGGGUGGCUUUUGUAAGGUUCCAAGGGAGGGCUCAAAAUGGAUAACCUGAUUGGGCUAGUGAACAGGAUCCAAAGGGCUUGCACUGCCCUUGGUGAUCAUGGUGGUGAAGGUGCUGUACAAAGUCUAUGGGAAGCCUUGCCAUCAGUUGCUGUUGUUGGAGGGCAGAGUUCCGGGAAGUCUUCUGUUCUUGAGAGCAUCGUCGGACGUGAUUUUCUUCCUCGGGGUUCCGGUAUUGUUACUCGGCGUCCAUUGGUUUUGCAGCUGCAUAAAACUGACGAAGGCACUCCAGAAUACGCUGAGUUCCUUCAUAUGCCCAAGAAGCGCUUUUCUGAUUUUGCUGCUGUGAGGAAAGAGAUCUCAGACGAGACAGAUCGGAUAACUGGGCGAGGCAAAGGGAUUUCAGUUGUUCCAAUUCAGCUCAGUGUUUAUUCUCCUAAUGUUGUGAAUUUGACUCUUAUCGAUCUUCCCGGCCUUACAAAAAUUGCUGUUGAUGGCCAAUCGGAUAGUAUCGUUCAAGACAUUGAGAACAUGGUCCGCUCUUACAUCGAGAAGCAAAAUUCAAUUAUUCUUGCUGUAUCUCCUGCCAAUCAAGAUAUCGCAACUUCAGACGCGAUGAAAAUCGCAAGAGAAGUGGAUCCCACUGGAGAGAGGACUUUUGGUGUUCUCACAAAGUUGGAUCUUAUGGACAAGGGGACCAAUGCCCUCGAUGUCCUGGAAGGCCGUUCCUACCGUUUGAAACAUCCGUGGGUAGGAGUUGUAAAUCGUUCCCAACAAGACAUCAACAAGGAAGUGAACAUGAUAGCAGCCAGACGUAGAGAACGAGACUACUUCCAGACCAGUCAAGAUUAUGGUCACUUGGCCAGCAAAAUGGGUUCUGAAUAUCUUGGGAAAGUGCUCUCGAAGCAUCUGGAAGCUGUUAUCAGGUCGCGUAUUCCUAGCAUCCUGGCUAUGAUUAACAAAAGCAUUGACGAAAUUGAGGCGGAGCUCAAUCAAAUUGGCAGGCCACUCGCCAAUGACGCAGGGGCUCAGCUGUACACCAUUCUGGAACUUUGCAGGGCAUUCGAUCGCAUUUUCAAGGAGCAUCUGGAUGGAGCACGGCCUGGUGGAGAGAAAAUAUAUGCCGUGUUUGACAAUCAACUACCAGCUGCAUUGAAGAAACUUCCGUUCGACAAGCAUUUGUCUGGACAGAAUGUUCGAAGAAUCGUGUCCGAGGCCGAUGGGUACCAGCCCCAUCUUAUAGCUCCUGAACAAGGUUACAGGCGUUUGAUUGAAAGUUCGCUACAAUUCUUCAGAGGCCCAGCAGAGGCAGUUGUUGAUGCAGUGCAUUUUAUUCUUCGGGAUCUGGUUCGAAAAUCGAUCGGAGAGUGUUCGGAACUGAAAAGAUUUCCAUCACUACAAGCGGAGAUUGCUCAAGCGGCCAUCGAAUCCUUGGAGAGGUUGAGAGAUGAUAGUAAGAAGACUACUUUGAGGCUUGUGGACAUGGAGUCCAGCUACUUGACCGUAGACUUCUUUCGAAAGCUUCCUCAAGAGAUAGAGAAGGGUGGAAAUGCAGCUGCCGCAGCUAAUGAUCGUUACACGGACAAUCAUUUGCGACGCAUCGGUUCCAAUGUGGCAUCGUACGUAGGAAUGGUCUGUGACCAACUGAGAACAUCUUUGCCCAAAGCUGCGGUGCACUGUCAAGUGCGAGAAGCGAAACGAUCAUUGAUGGACCACUUUUACACUCAGAUCGGCAAGCGUGAGGGGAAGCAACUAUCUGCAAUGCUGGAUGAGGACCCUGCGUUGAUGGAACGCAGAGUUCAGCUGUCCAAAAGGUUGCAACUUUACAAAUCAGCUAGGGACGAGAUUGAUGCUGUGGCCUGGAAAUAGAUCAACGGCUAUACUCAUUUCUCCUAUAUAUGAUCAGCGUAAAUCUGACGCUCCAUUUCAACAAGUAAAUCAAAUACGAAAGUCGACCAUUUUUCUACAAUUGUCUUCAUCUGAAUUGUCAAUCCAGCUCCAGCAAUCGACCAUGCGUGUUCAGAAGAUAUCUUGCAAAUUUGCGGCAUAGCUUUGAUAAAUAUUUUAUGAGAUGCAUGCUUUGGCCACACUUGGUUUCAUUAUCGCGAACAUGGUGAUGUCUCUUAGAGAUAAGGUUGGUGAUUGUCCACACAAAGAGACAGGAAAUAUUUUUGGCAAAUGUGGUUGCCACUUUUGCUAAUGUAAGGAACCUUAAGGAUGUGAACUAGUGUUGUACUAGUGAAAAUUAUAAUUCGGUUUCUAGUACGAGUUAGUUAGAAUACGUAUUUAGAACGGAAGGUGAGAUUAUGAAAAAAAAUAUUGAUUACAAUUACCUCAAAUAUAGACCAUGGUCGAAGUCACUUCUAAAUCAAAUGGAAUGUAUUCCAAAUUGAUUUGACCAUAACUAAA